UACGUAGGCAGCAAGCGUUGUUCGGAGUUACUGGGCGUAAAGGGUGCGUAGGUGGCUCUAUAAGUAUGGUGUGAAAUCUCCCGGCUUAACUGGGAGGGUGCGCCGUAGACUGUGGGGCUAGAGUGUGGGAGAGGAAAAUGGAAUUCCUGGUGUAGCGAUGAAAUGCGUAGAUAUCAGGAGGAACACCGGUGGUGUAAACGGCUUUCUGGACCAUAACUGACACUGAGGCACGAAAGCGUGGGUAGCAAACAGG
rnacentral:rRNA from 1 species